GUGCUUACUUCAGCAGCAUAUACACUAAAAUGGAAAUGAUAUGGAGAUUAGCGUAGCCUCUGCACAAAGAUGGCAGACAAAUUCGUGAAGCAUUGCAGAUUUUU
ensembl:snRNA U6 U6 spliceosomal RNA